GAUGAACGCUGGCGGCGUGCCUAAUACAUGCAAGUCGAGCGAACAGACGAGGAGCUUGCUCCUCUGACGUUAGCGGCGGGCGGGUGAGUAACACGUGGAUAACCUACCUAUAAGACUGGGAUAACUUCGGGAAACCGGAGCUAAUACCGGAUAAUAUAUUGAACCGCAUGGUUCAAUAGUGAAAGACGGUUUUGCUGACACUUAUAGAUGGAUCCGCGCCGCAUUAGCUAGUUGGUAAGGUAACGGCUUACCAAGGCAACGAUGCGUAGCCGACCUGAGAGGGUGAUCGGCCACACUGGAACUGAGACACGGUCCAGACUCCUACGGGAGGCAGCAGUAGGGAAUCUUCCGCAAUGGGCGAAAGCUUGACGGAGCAACGCCGCGUGAGUGAUGAAGGUCUUCGGAUCGUAAAACUCUGUUAUUAGGGAAGAACAAAUGUGUAAGUAACUAUGCACGUCUUGACGGUACCUAAUCAGAAAGCCACGGCUAACUACGUG
rnacentral:rRNA from 1 species